GUGGUCCUGACUGAAGACCAGCAGUUACACUAUAGCUGUUGGUUUCAAGCAGAGGCCUAAAGGACUAUCUUCCUAUAGUCUGUUGGCUGUCCUGGAAUCUCAGCAGGGAAUGGCCAUUUCAUUUGGAAGGAACAACC
rnacentral:snoRNA from 1 species